rnacentral:rRNA from 1 species
GAUGAACGCUGGCGGCGUGCCUAAUACAUGCAAGUCGAGCGAACAGACGAGGAGCUUGCUCCUCUGACGUUAGCGGCGGACGGGUGAGUAACACGUGGAUAACCUACCUAUAAGACUGGGAUAACUUCGGGAAACCGGAGCUAAUACCGGAUAAUAUAUUGAACCGCAUGGUUCAAUAGUGAAAGACGGUUUUGCUGUCACUUAUAGAUGGAUCCGCGCCGCAUUAGCUAGUUGGUAAGGUAACGGCUUACCAAGGCAACGAUGCGUAGCCGACCUGAGAGGGUGAUCGGCCACACUGGAGCUGGAACGCGGUCCAGACUCCUACGGGAGGCAGCAGACGGGAAUCUUCCGCAAUGGGCGAAAGCCUGACGGAGCAACGCCGCGUGAGUGAUGAAGGUCUUCGGAUCGUAAAACUCUGUUAUUAGGGAAGAACAAAUGUGUAAGUAACUAUGCACGUCUUGACGGUACCUAAUCAGAAAGCCACGGCUAACUACGUG